rnacentral:rRNA from 1 species
GACAGAGGGUGCAAACGUUGUUCGGAAUUACUGGGCGUAAAGCGCGUGUAGGCGGCACUACAAGUCGGAUGUGAAAUCCCGCGGCUUAACCGUGGAAGUGCACCCGAAACUGUAGAGCUAGAGUCCCGGAGAGGAUGGUGGAAUACUUGGUGUAGAGGUGAAAUUCGUAGAUAUCAAGUGGAACACCGGUGGCGAAGGCGGCCAUCUGGACGGUGACUGACGCUGAGACGCGAAAGCGUGGGUAGCAAACAGG